CUUGAAUAAAUUGCUUACCCACAGCGUAAGUCUCUUGCCAAAUGUGAUGAUCAGAGAAGCUGUGCCUGCUGUUUGUCUGGAGCUUUAAGUGAGGUAAAGGCAGCGCAAGACACAAGGAGCAGGUAGGGAGUCCCUGGGCCUUGAACUGAAGCAAAGGUAUUCCGGAUCUCUGAGAAGCCAACGGGGCAAGACUGGCCUCUUGGCCUUAAUCUCUUCUCAACUAGUUAAGCCAUCAGUCUUCAGCUGCCAUUCUAAGGUAAGAUAAAGUCACCCUGGGCUUUGCUGUGUAAUUUCUUGUUGCCAACUAUUGUGGAAUAUUAGUUGAAGAUGUGUGACAUUCGUUUAUUCUGUCAAGUAAGUGUUCAGUGUCGCAAAGAUGUGUUGCAUUCUUUUAUGUUGAAUUUGUUUAACUCUGUGAAGCCGUGUUACUUUGCCUGCCUAAAAUACCUGAUUGGUCUAAUAAAAAACGGAUCAGUCAAUAACUUGGCAGGAGACAGAAAUAGGCAGGGUUGUCAGAUGGAGAGAAUAAAUAGAAGAAGAAAUGAGAAGAGAGAGCAAGAGAAGAGGAGAAGAGGAGGAUCCCAGGGAAAAGCCACCCGGCAACACAACCAGCCAUACAGUAAGGAUGAAAGAAAUAUGCAUAGGAUAGACACAGGUAAAAAGGUAGAUGGGAUAAUCGAAGUUAAGAAAAGUUGGCUAGAAACAAGCCAAACUUUUGUAAGUAAGAAUAAGUCUCCAUGUAUUUAUUUGGGAGCUGGGUGAUGGGCCCCAAAGAGUUAAAAACAAAACAAAACAAAACUACAGACCAAGUCCCCUGAGCAAUUAUUUUAAAAAGGGCCCGAAUAGCGGUGUGAGAUUAUUCACCUUUUGACCACUCACAGAGAAAGACAGGGCGGAGAGUACAUAGCCCAAGCAGUUUGUCCUGUUUAGGGAUUUCUAGUUUUCUGUUCCCAGAUGAAAAGCAGAAGCUGGCUUGGUGUGCCACGCCAUGCUCUUGGCUGUUCAGGGGUCACAUCAUAUGGAAUCUGGAAAUGCCUCGUGUGCAAACUCUUCCUGUUCACGUUGCCGGCAGUGCUUCACCAUUAAACAGACUCGCAUAUUAAAAUGCAGAGCAUGUGAGCCUCUUCGAAUCAAUAGAAAACCAAGAGUCAGUACAUGUCUUAUCAGAUCCAAGAUACGCAAGGCAGAUGGAGAGAUGGAAAUGGUGGGCGAUACACAGGCUCCACGCAUAGCAACAUAAGCAGACACUGCAACUUCAGAAAUGAAAUGCAAAGUGACUAGCCUGGGGACAGGCAUCCUUUCUGUGCCACAAGCUCGAAGCACCAACAGUACAUCUUUUGAAGGAGCUUGGAAGAGACUAGAAGUUGAUGGCUGAGAGAAAAACAAUGGACAUUGUCUCAAGAGAAUAGAGUGCUGGAACUCCACCCAUGAGGAGAGAUGGCAGAUGCGCCAUGAAUGGGAAGCAUGCAACCCAAGCAGGAUUGCAGAAGCUGGUGAGCUCGGAUCACUCCCUGCUCCUACCUUCAGGAGCUCACAAUGAAAAGAUUUUGGACUCUUAUAAAAAUAUCAUGUGUAUGGGUAUGUUUCUGCACAUCGGCAUAUGCGGCACAUGCAUGAAGAAGCCUAUGGAGGCAAGGAGAUGACAUGACAUCUGAUACCCUGGAAUUGGAGGCACAGUGAGCCACUAUGUAAAUGCUGGGAUGAGCCUGGAUCCUCUACAAGAGCAGUAAGCACUGUAAACUCUUGAACUCUCUCCCCAGUUCCAUAUGUUGGGUUUUUUUUUUAAGAAGAUGGGGACUUUAAAGUUAUACUGUGUUUUAUAUUUGAGGUAAACCUGAGACUUUGGGGAAGGGAUGGAUUAUAAUAGGUUAGAAGUGAUGUGCUUAUGUGUUUUGUUGACAAGGGGGAGUCUUCCUGCUUAGCUUUCACUGUGGUCAUAACCUAGAAUUGCUGGCAAUGGCAUCUGAACAAGGAGUUGUAUAUUGGGACGUGUCUAUGGGAGAUCAUCUUGAUUAAAUUAAUUGAGGUGGAAAGAGCUGCCCACUAUAGGUGAUGUCAUUUUGUAGGAAGCAGAUUAUGAAAUCUACAGAGAUAGAGAAGGCAAACCAAUCACAAGCAUUGAAUGCAUUCCUUGCUCUCUGUGCCUGAUCAUGGAUGUGAUGCGAUCUUAUUUUUCACACUUCUGCUA